AGCGAACGUUAGCGGCGGGCCUAACACAUGCAAGUCGAGCGAGAAAGUGGCUUCGGCCACGAGUAAAGCGGCGGACGGGUGAGUAACACGUAGGUAAUCUUCCCUUGAGCGGGGGACAACGAGCCGAAAGGCUCGCUAAUACCGCAUACGUUUCCAGAGGCCCCGGUCUCUGGAAGGAAAGCUAGGCCGCAAGGUCUGGCACUCGAGGAGGAGCCUGCGUCGCAUCAGCUAGUUGGUGGGGUAACGGCCUACCAAGGCGAAGACGCGUAGCUGGGCUGAGAGGAUGAUCAGACACACGGGGACUGAGACACGGCCCAGACUCCUACGGGAGGCAGCAGUGGGGAAUAUUGGACAAUGGGCGCAAGCCUGAUCCAGCCACGCCGCGUGAGUGAUGAAGGCCUUCGGGUCGUAAAGCUCUGUGGGGAGGGACGAACCGCUGCACGUUCAUAGCGUGCAGCAUGACGGUACCUCCUUAGCAAGCACCGGCUAACUUCGUGCCAGCAGCCGCCGCAG
rnacentral:rRNA from 1 species